rnacentral:rRNA from 1 species
GACGAACGCUGGCGGCGUGCUUAACACAUGCAAGUCGAACGCUGAAGCUCAGCUUUUGUUGGGUGGAUGAGUGGCGAACGGGUGAGUAACACGUGAGUAACCUGCCUCCUUCUUUGGGAUAACGCCCGGAAACGGGUGCUAAUACUGGAUAUUCACUGGUCUUCGCAUGGGGGUUGGUGGAAAGGGUUUUUCUGGUGGGGGAUGGGCUCGCGGCCUAUCAGCUUGUUGGUGGGGUGAUGGCCUACCAAGGCUUUGACGGGUAGCCGGCCUGAGAGGGUGACCGGUCACAUUGGGACUGAGAUCCGGCCCAGACUCCUACGGGAGGCAGCAGUGGGGAAUAUUGCACAAUGGGCGCAAGCCUGAUGCAGCGACGCCGCGUGAGGGAUGGAGGCCUUCGGGUUGUGAACCUCUUUCGCUCAUGGUCAAGCCGCAACAAUGGUUGUGGUGAGGGUAGUGGGUAAAGAAGCGCCGGCUAACUACGU